UGAAAAUGGCCACAGCUGAAUAAGUGUUCUUAGUAACACAAGUACAAUCAUGUAAACCCUGAAAAUUGUCUUACCCUAAUCAUAACUUUUGAAACAAUGGAUUCAAAAAUAUGGACAAGCUUUCUUUUGAGGUGUAUCGAAGACAUGCUGCAAAGUAAUAAUAGAGAGCCACGUAGUCCUUAGAAUGGCUCUUGUGAGAGAAAAUCAUGAGAAAAGAGUAAAACAACUCACAGCUAAAACACAUUUACUAUUGUUUACAAG
rnacentral:lncRNA from 1 species